ACGAUGUGAACUAGAUGUUUGUGGAGGAAUCCAUGAGUAUCGAAGCUAACGCGAUAAGUUCACCGCCUGGGGAGUACGGCCGCAAGGUUGAAACUCAAAUGAAUUGACGGGGGCCCGCACAAGCGGUGGAGCAUGUGGUUUAAUUCGAUGCAACGCGAAGAACCUUACCUACCCUUGACAUCCUAGGAAUUCUGAAGAGAUUCGGAAGUGCCGAAAGGAACCUAGAGACAGGUGCUGCAUGGCUGUCGUCAGCUCGUGUUGUGAGAUGUUGGGUUAAGUCCCGUAACGAGCGCAACCCUUAUCCUUAGUUACUAACGAGUUAAGUCGAGGACUCUAAGGAGACUGCCGGUGUUGAACCGGAGGAAGGCGGGGACGACGCCAAGUCAUCAUGGCCCUUAUGGGUAGGGCUACACACGUGCUACAAUGGGACGUACAGAGAGUCGCCAACCCGCGAGGGGGAGCUAAUCUCAGAAAGCGUCUCGUAGUCCGGAUUGGAGUCUGCAACUCGACUCCAUGAAGUUGGAAUCGCUAGUAAUCGCGAAUCAGCAUUGUCGCGGUGAAUACGUUCCCGGGCCUUGUACACACCGCCCGUCACGUCAUGGAAGUGGAUGGUACCAGAAGCGGGUAGUUUAACCUUCGGGAGAACGCUUGCCACGGUAUGAUUCAUGACUGGGACGAAGUCGUAACAAGGUAACCGUA
rnacentral:rRNA from 1 species